GUCCGGCAACGAGCGCAACCCUCGUGAUUAGUUACUAACAGUUCGGCUGAGGACUCUAAUCAGACUGCCUUCGCAAGGAGGAGGAAGGUGAGGACGACGUCAAGUCAUCAUGGCCCUUACGGCCAGGGCUACACACGUGCUACAAUGGGGCAUACAAAGAGCAGCGAUACGGUGACGUGGAGCAAAUCUCAUAAAAUGCCUCCCAGUUCGGAUUGUUCUCUGCAACUCGAGAACAUGAAGUUGGAAUCGCUAGUAAUCGUAGAUCAGCAAUGCUACGGUGAAUACGUCCCGGGUCUUGUACUCACCGCCCGUCACACAU
rnacentral:rRNA from 3 species